GACGAACGCUGGCGGCGUGCUUAACACAUGCAAGUCGAGCGAGGCCCCUCCUUCGGGAGGGUGUCCUAGCGGCGAACGGGUGAGUAACACGUGGGUAACCUGCCCUCAGCUCUGGGAUAACUCCGGGAAACCGGGGCUAAUACCGGAUACGACCUCCACGGGCAUCUGCGGAGGUGGAAAGUUUUUCGGCUGAGGAUGGGCCCGCGGCCUAUCAGCUAGUUGGUGGGGUAGUGGCCCACCAAGGCGACGACGGGUAGCCGGCCUGAGAGGGCGACCGGCCACACUGGGACUGAGACACGGCCCAGACUCCUACGGGAGGCAGCAGUGGGGAAUAUUGCGCAAUGGGCGAAAGCCUGACGCAGCGACGCCGCGUGAGGGACGAAGGCCUUCGGGUUGUAAACCUCUUUCAGCAGGGACGAAGCGAAAGUGACGGUACCUGCAGAAGAAGCACCGGCCAACUACGUG
rnacentral:rRNA from 1 species